GAGUUUGAUCCUGGCUCAGGAUGAACGCUAGCGGCAGGCUUAACACAUGCAAGUCGAGGGGCAGCAUAAUGGAUAGCAAUAUCUAUGGUGGCGACCGGCGCACGGGUGCGUAACGCGUAUGCAACCUACCUUUAACAGGGGGAUAACACUGAGAAAUUGGUACUAAUACCCCAUAAUAUCAUAGAAGGCAUCUUUUAUGGUUGAAAAUUCCGAUGGUUAGAGAUGGGCAUGCGUUGUAUUAGCUAGUUGGUGGGGUAACGGCUCACCAAGGCGACGAUACAUAGGGGGACUGAGAGGUUAACCCCCCACACUGGUACUGAGACACGGACCAGACUCCUACGGGAGGCAGCAGUGAGGAAUAUUGGUCAAUGGACGCAAGUCUGAACCAGCCAUGCCGCGUGCAGGGUGACGGCUCUAUGAGUUGUAAACUGCUUUUGUACGAGGGUAAACGCAGAUACGUGUAUCUGUCUGAAAGUAUCGUACGAAUAAGGAUCGGCUAACUCCGUGCCAGCAGCCGCGGUAAUUC
rnacentral:rRNA from 1 species